rnacentral:rRNA from 1 species
AACGAACGCUGGCGGCGGGGUUUAGGCAUGCAAGUCGAGCGAGAAAGGGGCAACCCGAGUAAAGCGGCGUAAGGGUGAGUAAUAGGUAGUUCACGUAUCUUCCAGACGCGGAUAAUUUCCCGAAAGGGAUUGUAAUACGCGAUGAGACCACGCGGCAUCCGUGCUGUGGGGCCAAAGGUUCGGGAUCCUUCGGGACCGAGCGC